AUCUCAAUGUUUCAAGACAACAGCUUUUGUCUUCCUGCUCCAUCUCAUGUCAAGCAGACCCAAAAUUAGGAACAAAGUUUUCCUUUCUUGCACAUGGAUUCUGAGCUAGAGGGAGCUUUGCAGGAACUGACUGAAACCCUUCUUAACAGCUAAUACUUCUAAUCUGUUUAUACUCAAGACUACUUUACUCCUUGAACACAUGCCAUCGCAAGUGUACUGUUUAAAAGAGGCAACCAGCCUUUUUUUGAGGCAUCUAUUUCUUCUUAAUACUGGAGAAGGAUUAGCGAUCAGUUGCCUAACACCUGUGUGGAGUUGUCUGGGGACCUGGCCUCCUCCCCAACUGGCAGAUGACAACCCCCGAGAAUCAUUAUGCAUCAACCAUUAUGGAAGCUCAAC